AACGAAAUACAAUAUUCCGUGUCUGCCCAAUCCCAGCUCCAAAACACAUUGAACAAAAUGGACCAGUAUUCAAAAUAAUACACCAUGCACUUGCAAUAAACAAUUUCUACAUAGCCAUCGAACAGAUCCGAUCGAAGCUACGAUUUGUGAAGAUGGCCUCCAGACCGCGGCGCGCGGGCAUCGACUGGACUAUGGUGCUUGGUGGACUGGUUGUCGGCGGGAUUCUAGCUAUCGGUGCUUGCAAAUACUCCACCAACACGUGCCGAAAGAAAGUUGAGAAAUGCAACAAAAAGGAACCCGAGUGCCCGAGAUGCCCAUCGACGGACAACGCGUGUAAAUGCUGCAGCUGUGAUAAGCCUGGCUUAUUCGGAUAAAUCUGGUUUUUUUCAGUGCCCAGAAGGUGACCCACCCUGUUGUUGCUGCAAAUGCAAUAGGCCUGGCCUAUUCGGAUAGCUUACGAGAAAUCAAUGAGUGGUUUACCGCUUUGCCUAGAGGCCAAUUAUAUGUCAAAAAAUUAUGCAUGCUCUAUCUAUGGGCGGUAAAAUUGACAUUAAAUACGUUUGUCAAAAAUGUAACGACAUUUACGUGAAGUCGGGAACGUAUUUGCAAAUAAAAUUGAAAAAAAUGGGUUGAGAUGUCUAACAUAACGGAAAAUACAUGUUUCAGAGGUUUCAUUUCAUGUACGGAACGAUUGAUAUAGUCUCUGAUAAUGGGUUCUAAGCCGACAUUAAUCCACUUGGCGGUGAUAUCUAUGACCGUUGUAGCUCUGACCUACGGCUUAUUAAGAAUGCUGCGAUCCGAGUCGCCUCCGCCUAAGAUUUACAGAAGCUUCGGCCUGGGCUUCGGCCCUAGCACAUACAAGUGUAUUUGCACAGAAGAUGGACCGUGCCAAACAAUAGGUGAUGGUUGAAGAAACGCUUUGCGGGUUGGGCUCAUAAUUUUCAUCUCAGUCUCUACUUCUACUACGUUGUGAAAUAUUGACGCAAUAUACGCCUGAGUCACAGAU